rnacentral:lncRNA from 1 species
GCAGUCAGGGCUCGGUGAGAUUCUUGCCUUAGGAAGCUGGAGCCUGCCUGGGAAUAAAACCAACCCAGAGGGCCAGGCGUGGUGGCUCACGCUUGUAAUCUCAGCACUUUGGGAGGCCAAGGCAGGCAGAUCACCUGAGGUCAGGAGUUCGAGACCCCGUCUCUACCAAAAAAUACAAAAUUUAGCUGGGCGUGGUGUGGGCACCUGUAAUCCCAACUACUCGGGAGGAGUAUUGCUUGAACCCAGGAGGCGGAGGUUGAGCCGGAUGAGCAAUGGCUAAUGGUAGAGGCUGGGAAUGACUCCUUUCUCCUUGGUGCAUGAGGACAUCUGUUCUCUGGCCGGCCCUGACCUCGCCUCACUGAGCUGGAGCAGAAAUCACUUAACCUUCCAGGCCUCGGCGUUUAGAGCUGGCCCCGGCAGAAGUCAGUGGCGGGAUUCGGAGACGGCAAACGUGUUCCAUCAAGGGCCAGAUGUGGUCUUGCUCUGUCGUCCAGGCUGCAAUGAAGUGGUGUGAUCUCGGCUCACUGCAGCCUCUGCCUACUCCCGGGUUCAAGCGAUCCUCAUGCCUCAGCCUCUCAAGUAGCUGGAAUUACAGGCUGGGACUGGGCGAGCCGACCUCGGAAGCCUUUCAGAUGGAGGGAGAAAGGCUGAACAGGAACCUUCGGAUGACGGGAACCCGAGCUGACCUUUCCACUGCUGGAGACUUCGUGGGAGACCCUGUGCUAGAACUUCCCAGGAAGUGCCUCCCUGAGAUUCCAGACCCACAGAAGCUGAGAAAAUACAUCAUCGUUCCCAGAGGCUAAGUGUGGGGCAUUUUGUUAGGCAGCAAUAGCUAACUCACACAAGGGCCUUCUUGGAAGGAGAGCUGCUUUUUGAGGGUGAGAAAAAGCAUUCCUAGAUUUUUGCCAGCAGUUGGUCAAACUGUGUCACAUGACCAUGACUAGACCAAUCUCUGGUUAGGGGUGUGAUCAUCUUGGACCAAUCAGGACCCUGCCCUGGGGCUGGGCCAUGGCUCCUGGGAAUCACUGAGGGUGCUGGAUGCUGGAUCCCAGCCAGGAAGGAGCGGCCGAGAUACUGCCUCCUGGACUCCAUAAUGUCCAAGCUGCCAUUUAUUGAACACUGACU